AAGUAAUGAUGAGUGAACUUGGUUACCUUUGCAGACCUUUGCAGAAACAUCACCCUGAGCUUGU